CGGGGCUGUUGUGGAUGGGGUGGUCGGGAUUUAACGGCGGAGCGCCGCACUCGGCGAACGUGGUGGCGUCGAUAGCUGUGCUGAAUACGAACGUGAGUGCGGCGAUGAGUCUGCUGGUUUGGACCAUAUUGGAUGUGUUUUACUUUGGGAAGCCAUCGGUGAUUGGAGCCAUUCAGGGUAUGAUGACUGGCUUGGCUUGCGUUACUCCUGGCGCUGGAGUUGUG
rnacentral:misc_RNA from 1 species